GGUAUAAUAUAUAUUGAUGGUGCAUUAUUCUAGUUGCACGUAUUGUUAUGAGGGUGGGGCUAAAAAUCCACUAAAAGGCACAUCGUUGAAGUUUCUUGUUUAUGCGCGUUACGCCCAGUUUUGUGUAUUUUCAGGAAGUAAGAUUUUAGGGAUAAAUAUAACGGCAUAUAUUCUUUCCCCUAUUUUCGCGGAGGCUUCAAAUAUUCAUUAUCUAACUUAUUUGGAGUAUAACCUAUAUUGAGUGCCAAGACACAAAAUAUAGUGUAGCCUGUCUCGAGUGAUGGUAUUGGGAUUUAUUAAAAAGUAAAAAUGAGUUAUGGCCAUAGCAUGUUUUUAUAUGAUAAUGAAACUAUUAUUGCAAAAAAGACUAAUAACAAUACACGCAAUAAAAGGAAAACUUCUAGAAUGUUUGCUAUAUAAGCAAGAGUAUUUAGGGAUUAAGGUACGGAUUUAAGUGGCGAUCUAGUUUCUUGACAAGGCAACUUCAAGAUGCUGUUUUUAAAUGGAAACAGCCAAAUAGUAAUGUUUGGUAUAGCAGUAGAGAAAUUCUACUAGACCUCAAACCGUAAAAUUUACCUAAUUACUACCAUCUUUUUUUUAUUUAAG
rfam:Clostridium sp. CAG:1219 genomic scaffold, scf64